UACGGAGGAUGCAAGUGUUAUCCGGAAUCACUGGGCGUAAAGAGUAUGUAGGCGGACAUUUAAGUAGAAAGUGAAAGGUUGGAGCUCAACUCCAACACUGCUUCCUAUACUGGAUGUCUUGAGUGCCGGAGAGGAAAGCGGAACGACACGUGUAGCGGUGAAAUGCGUUGAUAUGUGUCGGAACACCAAUGGCGAAGGCAGCUUUCUGGACGGAGCCGCAAGGCUUAAAACUGACGCUGAGAUACGAAAGCCGAGGGAGCGAACAGG
rnacentral:rRNA from 1 species